rnacentral:rRNA from 1 species
GUAGGGAAUAUUGGACAAUGGGCGAAAGCCUGAUCCAGCAACGCCGCGUGUGCGAUGACGGCCUUCGGGUUGUAAAGCACUUUUAGAGGAGAUGAGAAAGGACAGUAUCCUCUGAAUAAGCCUCGGCGAACUACGUGCCAGCAGCCGCGGUAAAACGUAGGAGGCUAGCGUUAUCCGGAUUUAUUGGGCGUAAAGCGCGUGCAGGCGGUUUAUCAAGUUGGAUGUGAAAGCUCCUGGCUUAACUGGGAGAGGUCGUUCAAAACUAAUAGGCUGGAGAAUGGGAGAGGGAGGUGGAAUUGCGGGUGUAGUGGUGACAUGCGUAGAUAUCCAGAGGAACACUAGUGGCGAAAGCGGCAGCCUGGGCCAUUUCUGACGCUAAGACGCGAAAG